rnacentral:rRNA from 1 species
CGUCUUCCCUUGUGGCCGGUGUACAGGUGGUGCAUGGUUGUCGUCAGCUCGUGUCGUGAGAUGUUGGGUUAAGUCCCGCAACGAGCGCAACCCUUGUCUUAUGUUGCCAGCACGUGAUGGUGGGGACUCAUGAGAGACUGCCGGGGUCAACUCGGAGGAAGGUGGGGAUGACGUCAAAUCAUCAUGCCCCUUAUGUCCAGGGCUUCACACAUGCUACAAUGGUCGGUACAGCAGGUCGCGAACUCGUGAGAGUAAGCCAAUCCUUCAAAGCCGGCCUCAGUUCGGAUUGGGGUCUGCAACUCGACCCCAUGAAGUCGGAGUCGCUAGUAAUCGCAGAUCAGCAACGCUGCGGUGAAUACGUUCCCGGGCCUUGUACACACCG